UUCUUAAGACACAGAAAGGUCAUGAAAUUCAUUUUCCAGAUGAAGAAAAGAAAUUCAAAAAAAAUCCUGCACCCUCCAGGCCACUGAUUAAUUGAAGAGGUUUUCGGAACAGAAGAUUUGCAAUGUCCAUACCAGACAGACUAUUUAGAGCCAGUCAUAAUCAGCCUUGAACUACAACAACUGACAAAUUCUUGUCUGACCUACAAAAGAGAGUCUCAAAAGAAAAUGUCCGACCAUUCAAAAUUAAUGGCGUAUCCAAAGGGAGAUUACUCAUGCUGUCCUAGACAUUAACUGCCUGUCUAAAAACAAGUGGGCCACUUGGUGUAUGCUACAGCAGGUCACAAUGAAUACUGAUGUCACUGUUGUUUGUUAAUUCUCUUGUCUGGUUGGCACAGCCUUGAAGCCAGGUAUCAACUUAAAUCACUGCCAUCCCAUCUAAACAUGCAAAAAAUCAUGAUGCAUGAAAGGGUUUCUUUCCUUUUUUUUUUAUUUUGUUUGAAAGUGUUUUAUUUAACACAAGUACAGUGAUUGUACAUGGAUAUGCAGCGAUGUUAAUCAAACAAUGACCUGAAUUUUUAAUCUUGCUUGAAGUUGUAUUACUUAAUGGAGAUGUUUUACUGAACACAUCUGUUAUGGUUGAAUGCAUUUUGUAAUUAACUGAAAAAGUUUACUCUAGUUUUAUUGUAAAUAAGUCAUGUUUCAAUCAUCUUUUUUAUUAUUUUGCUGAUUAUCAGUUUCAGGAUGAAUUAAAAUAAAGCACUU